rfam:Bombyx mori DNA, contig: Bm_scaf47_contig25321, strain: p50T/Dazao, build 2, whole genome shotgun sequence.
UUUACUCAAAUUUGUAUGGAGUUGAAACGUUUUCCGCUAGGAACACUGUUCCAACUGCAUACAAAUUUGAGUUA